rnacentral:rRNA from 1 species
GGCCUGAACGCUGGCGGCGUGGCUAAGACAUGCAAGUCGUACGGAUGUAGCAAUACAUCAGUGGCGAACGGGUGAGUAAUGAAUCGCUAAUGUACCCCGGACUCUGGGAUAGCUGCCCGAAAGGGCAGGUAAUACCAGAUGAUAUAUCCUUAUCGCAUGAUAGGGAUCUCAAAGGUCCGCCGGUCUGGGAGCAGGCGAUUUUGUAUCAGCUAGUUGGUGAGGUAACGGCUCACCAAGGCGAUGACGCAUAGCCGGACUGAGAGGUUGGCCGGCCACAUUGGGACUGAGACACUGCCCAGACUCCUACGGGGGGCUGCAGUACGAAUCUUCCGCAAUGCACGAAAGUGUGACGGAGCGACGCCGCGUGUGGGACGAAGCCCUUCGGGGUGUAAACCACUGUCAGGGGAUAGAAGUUCUGAUCAUCCCCAGAGGAAGGCACGGCUAACUCUGUGCCAGCAGCCGC